AGCAUAUUAAUAAACGAGGAAAAGAAACCAACAGGGAUUCCCUGAGUAACGGCGAGUGAAACGGGAUGAAGCCCAGCACCGAACUUCGCCCCGCACUAGUUGCGGUUGGUCGAGGAAUGUGGUGUUUCGGAGGGCCACCUUCCCACAGUCAGUUGCGCCUAAGUCCUCUUGAACGAGGCCACUAGCCAGAGAGGGUGAUAGCCCCAGUAUGGCGCUACGCUGGUCUGUGGGAGUGCCUUCUCCGUAGAGUCGGGUUGCUUGAGAGUGCAGCCCUAAGCAGGAGGUAAACUCCUUCUAAGGCUAAAUAUGACCAGUAAAUCGAUAGC
rnacentral:rRNA from 1 species